rnacentral:rRNA from 1 species
GACGAACGCUGGCGGCGUGCCUAAUACAUGCAAGUCGAACGCAGUGGGGACGGGUGAUUAACACGUGGGUAACCUCCCAUCAGAGGGGAUACCACUUGGCAACAGGUGCUAAACCGAUACUGAUGGAUGAACUCGCGGUGCAUUAGCUCGUUGGUGAGGUCACGGCUCACCAAGGCCACGAUGCAUAGCGGACCUGAGAGGGUGAUCGGCCACACCGGGACUGAGAAACGGCCCAGACUCCUACGGGAGGCAGCAGUAGGGAAUCUUCGGCAAUGGACGAAAGUCUGACCGAGCAACGCCGCGUGAGUGAAGAAGGUUUUCGGAUCGUAAAAUUCUGUUGUUAGAGAAGCGGUAUCUAACCAGAAAGCCACGGCUAACUACGUGCCAGCCGCCGCGGUAAUAC